UUUUAUGGAGAGUUUGAUCCUGGCUCAGGAUGAACGCUGGCGGCGUGCCUAAUACAUGCAAGUCGAGCGAACGGACGAGAAGCUUGCUUCUCUGAUGUUAGCGGCGGACGGGUGAGUAACACGUGGAUAACCUACCUAUAAGACUGGGAUAACUUCGGGAAACCGGAGCUAAUACCGGAUAAUAUUUUGAACCGCAUGGUUCAAAAGUGAAAGACGGUCUUGCUGUCACUUAUAGAUGGAUCCGCGCUGCAUUAGCUAGUUGGUAAGGUAACGGCUUACCAAGGCAACGAUGCAUAGCCGACCUGAGAGGGUGAUCGGCCACACUGGAACUGAGACACGGUCCAGACUCCUACGGGAGGCAGCAGUAGGGAAUCUUCCGCAAUGGGCGAAAGCCUGACGGAGCAACGCCGCGUGAGUGAUGAAGGUCUUCGGAUCGUAAAACUCUGUUAUUAGGGAAGAACAUAUGUGUAAGUAACUGUGCACAUCUUGACGGUACCUAAUCAGAAAGCCACGGCUAACUACGUGCCAGCAGCCGCGGUAAUACGUAGGUGGCAAGCGUUAUCCGGAAUUAUUGGGCGUAAAGCGCGCGUAGGCGGUUUUUUAAGUCUGAUGUGAAAGCCCACGGCUCAACCGUGGAGGGUCAUUGGAAACUGGAAAACUUGAGUGCAGAAGAGGAAAGUGGAAUUCCAUGUGUAGCGGUGAAAUGCGCAGAGAUAUGGAGGAACACCAGUGGCGAAGGCGACUUUCUGGUCUGUAACUGACGCUGAUGUGCGAAAGCGUGGGGAUCAAACAGGAUUAGAUACCCUGGUAGUCCACGCCGUAAACGAUGAGUGCUAAGUGUUAGGGGGUUUCCGCCCCUUAGUGCUGCAGCUAACGCAUUAAGCACUCCGCCUGGGGAGUACGACCGCAAGGUUGAAACUCAAAGGAAUUGACGGGGACCCGCACAAGCGGUGGAGCAUGUGGUUUAAUUCGAAGCAACGCGAAGAACCUUACCAAAUCUUGACAUCCUUUGACAACUCUAGAGAUAGAGCCU
rnacentral:rRNA from 2 species